rnacentral:tRNA from 1 species
UAAUAGCUCAGUUGGUUAGAGCGUGGGUCUAAUAAGCCCAAGGUCAGGG